rnacentral:tRNA from 1 species
GUUGUUGUAAUAUAGUGAUGAGUAUCCCCGCCUGUCACGCGAUAAACCCAGGUUCGAUCCCCGGCAAUGGCG